rnacentral:rRNA from 1 species
GGGACAGGCUACGUAGCCAGCGUUGUCGGAAUUCUGGGUGUAAGGGAGCGCAGGNGGGACCUAACUAGGAAGUGAAAUCCAUGGGCUCAACCCAUGAACCGCUUUAAAACUGUUUUUCUUGAGUAGUGCAGAGGUAGGCGGAAUUCCCGGUGUAGCGGUGGAAUGCGUAGAUAUCGGGAGGAACACCAGUGGCGAAGGCGGCCUACUGGGCACCAGCUGACGCUGAGGCUCGAAAGUGUGGGUAGCAAACAGGAUUAGAUACCCUGGUAGUCCACACUGUAAACGAUGAUUACUAGGUGUUGGAGGAUUGACCCCUUCAGUGCCGCAGUUAACACAAUAAGUAAUCCACCUGGGGAGUACGACCGCAAGGUUGAAACUCAAAGGAAUUGACGGGGGCCCGCACAAGCAGUGGAGUAUGUGGUUUAAUUCGACGCAACGCGAAGAACCUUACCAAGUCUUGACAUCCUGCGACGCACAUAGAAAUAUGUGUUUCCUUCGGGACGCAGAGACAGGUGGUGCAUGGUUGUCGUCAGCUCGUGUCGUGAGAUGUUGGGUUAAGUCCCGCAACGAGCGCAACCCUUAUGGUCAGUUACUACGCAAGAGGACUCUGGCCAGACUGCCGUUGACAAAACGGAGGAAGGUGGGGAUGACGUCAAAUCAUCAUGCCCUUUAUGACUUGGGCUACACACGUACUACAAUGGCGUUAAACAAAGAGAAGCAAGACCGCGAGGUGGAGCAAAACUCAGAAACAACGUCCCAGUUCGGACUGCAGGCUGCAACUCGCCUGCACGAAGUCGGAAUUGCUAGUAAUCGCAGAUCAGCAUGCUGCGGUGAAUACGUUCCCGGGCCUUGUACACACCGCCCGUCACACCAUGAGAGCCGGGGGGACCCGAAGUCGGUAGUCUAACCGCAAGGAGGACGCCGCCGAAGGUAAAACUGGUGAUUGCCCUGAAAGGGUAACAA